GACGAACGCUGGCGGCGUGCCUAACACAUGCAAGUCGAACGGGGUGAGAUCCUUCGGGGUUUCACUUAGUGGCGAACGGGUGAGUAACGCGUGAGAAACCUGCCUUUCAGUGGGGGACAACAGUUGGAAACGACUGCUAAUACCGCAUAACGUAUUUUAGGGGCAUCCCUUGAAUACCAAAGCUUUAUGUGCUGAAAGAUGGUCUCGCGUCUGAUUAGCUAGAUGGUGGGGUAACGGCCCACCAUGGCGACGAUCAGUAGCCGGUCUGAGAGGAUGAACGGCCACAUUGGGACUGAGAUACGGCCCAGACUCCUACGGGAGGCAGCAGUGGGGAAUAUUGGGCAAUGGGGGAAACCCUGACCCAGCAACGCCGCGUGAAGGAAGAAGGCCCUUCGGGUU
rnacentral:rRNA from 1 species